rnacentral:RNase_P_RNA from 1 species
AGCAGGCCAGAUGGUCGCCCUUAUUAUGGGGAGGAAAGUCCGGGCUUCGCAGAGCAGGGUGCCGGUUAACGGCCGGUGAAGGCGACUUCAAGGAAAGUGCAACAGAAAUAAACCGCCCGUUUUUGCGGGUAAGGGUGGAAAGGUGAGGUAAAAGCUCACCGCUCUUCUGGUAACAGAGGAGGCUCUGUAAACCCCACCUGAAGCAAGGCUUGACUAAAGCUAUGGGGCUGCUCGUCCCGCUUUGAUAUAGCCGCAUGAUGAUGUCGGCGACGACAUACCAAGAUAGAUGACCGUCUAAUACAGAACCCGGCUUAUAGGUCUGCUCAU